GAUGAAGAACGUAGCGAAAUGCGAUACGUAAUGUGAAUUGCAGAAUUCAGUGAAUCAUCGAAUCUUUGAACGCAUAUUGCGCUCUCUGGUAUUCCGGAGAGCAUGCUUGUUUGAGUAUCAGUAAACACCUCAACUCCCUUUUCUUUUUUGAAAUUGGAGCUGGACUUGAGUGAUCCCAACGCUUUCUUCCAAGAAAGUGGCGGGUUGCUUGAAAUGCAGGUGCAGCUGAACUUUUCUCUGAGCUAUAAGCAUAUCUAUUUAGUCUGCCUAAAACACAGAUUAUUACCUUUGCUGCAGCUAACAUAAAGGAGACUAGUUCUUGUGCUGACUGAUGCAGGAUUCACAGAGACAGCUUCGGCUGACUUUGUAAACUCGAUCUCAAAUCAAGUAAGACUACCCGCUGAACUUAAGCAUAUCAAUAAGCGGAGGA
rnacentral:misc_RNA from 1 species